AUUGAACGCUGGCGGCAGGCUUAACACAUGCAAGUCGAACGGUUGCAGCAAUGCAGCAGUGGCAGACGGGUGAGUAACACGUGGGAACCUUCCUAGGGGUACGGAACAACUCAGGGAAACUUGAGCUAAUACCGUAUACGUCCGUGAGGAGAAAGAUUUAUCGCCCUUAGACGGGCCCGCGUCGGAUUAGCUAGUUGGUGGGGUAACGGCCUACCAAGGCGACGAUCCGUAGCUGAUCUUAGAGGAUGAUCAGCCACACUGGGACUGAGACACGGCCCAGACUCCUACGGGAGGCAGCAGUGGGGAAUCUUGGACAAUGGGCGCAAGCCUGAUCCAGCCAUGCCGCGUGAGUGAAGAAGGUCUUCGGAUUGUAAAGCUCUUUUGCCAGGGACGAUAAUGACGGUACCUGGAGAAUAAGCCCCGGCAAACUUCGUGCCAGCAGCCGCGGUAACAC
rnacentral:rRNA from 1 species